AGGGUUCCAAGCCUAGGACAGAAAAAAAAUGGAGCAAAAACAAUUCAGAUAAUACUUGAUGCCUGUCUUUCUCGCUCUUGCUAUCUGAGUGGUGGGUGCCUCGAAGUAUCAACCACCAGAUGAAAGAAAAGCAACUAAAUUAGAGGUUGAGAAAUCGCUAAACAUAAAAUCUAGAUGAGAAUUAUGUUAAACUAUCAAUUCUUAGGAAUUAAUAGAAGCCCACAUUCAUAUCAAACAACAUAGACGUUUCAUAGGAGAUUGAAACUAGACACUUCAAAUUACAUACACAACAUUAAGUUACUGGGAUUCACAUAAUUCCUAGUUUUGAUGCCUACAAACAAAUUGACACAUAAGCCAUUCAUUUUCACGGAGCUCCUCCAUUUAGUUACACGUUAUGUGUUUCUCCUUUUCCCUUGAGAAAAGUAAAUUUCACAGAAAUAUCCACAUCCUUUUCUCUAGCUAUUUUAGCAACAUUCUUCAGCAAGCUUGAUAACUCCAAUUCAUUCGACAUAGCACUUGACUCUACCUGAAAUUGGCAAAGUUUGUAUUCGUCGAGCCACUUGAAAUAACUGCAGUCAUUCGUACAACAAAAGAAUAGCCAACCUAAGUUUUCAACAUCCAUAAAUUUCUCAAUUCCCUUGCCACAUACCAAGCACGGUCUCUUUAUGCGACAAUCCAAUAGGUAGUGGCCCGACUUCCCGCAACCACAACAAAUCCCCUUGUUCUUUCCUACCAUUAAAAUAUGCUAUUGCAACAACAAUAAUUUUAGCAUAUUUAUCAUACUUAAUCCAUUUAUUCUUCUACAAGUAUUAUAAAAUCAAGAGUAUCCAAAGAACAUGACAUUUAAUGAUAUGUCAACCAAUUUCUAAACCACUCAAUUUCCAUUUUCGCAUUUUGCAAAAUAAGAGAUUUAGUGGCCAAUGUAUUACCUGAUUAGGAAUACUGACGUCAACUUCAAAUAAUUGAAUGGGUUGUUAAAGACUCCGUGUGAGAUUCUCUUGAAAUCAAUUUCAAGACGUUAGGGUUCUUAAGGUGAACAUAGGGCUCUUCACAGAUUUAGAAGCUGCUCCGAUUUCGGGAAGGAGAUGUCUACAGCGUAAAUGUCUUUUUCUCUUCAUUUUCAAUCUGAAACACGAUUUCAUUAAUUGUAAAAGCCAUGUUUGGGAGUGAGUUUCCUUGACGUGGAAGAUGCGUUGGCACUUGACAAC
rnacentral:lncRNA from 1 species